GGCCUAGUGGUGUACCGGUAACACAUCCUCUCUUAAUGUAUGAGUCUCCCCAGAAAUAGGAGGAAGUACCCUGUUCAAUUCGGGGCUAGGCCA